UUUUUUUUUUUUAAGGGGGGCCCCCCUAAUAGUGUAGGGCGCAGCCGCAACGCCAUUAGAGAGGUUGCUCUUAUGAUUUUAGUGGCGGACUUUAGAGUAACACGUGGGUAACCUGCCCAUAAGACUGGGAUAAUUCAGGGAAACCGGGGCUAAUACCGGAUAACAUUUUGAACCGCAUGGUUCGAAAUUGAAAGGCGGCUUCGGCUGUCACUUAUGGAUGGACCCGCGUCGCAUUAGCUAGUUGGUGAGGUAACGGCUCAACAAGGCAAAGAUGCGUAGACGACAUGAGAGGGUGAUCGGCCACAGUGGGACUGAGACAAGGCCCAGACUCCUACGGGAGGCAGCAGUAGGGAAUCUUCCGCAAUGGACGAAAGUCUGAUGGAGCAAGGCCGCGUGAGUGAUGAAGGCUUUCGGGUCGUAAAAUUCUGUUGUUAGGGAAGAAUUAGUGCUAGUUGAAUAAGUUGGCACCUUGACGGUACCUAACCAGAAAGCCACGGCUAACUACGUGCCAGCAGCCGCGGUAAUACGUAGGUGGCAAGCGUUAUCCGGAAUUAUUGGGCGUAAAGCGCGCGCAGGUGGUUUCUUAAGUCUGAUGUGAAAGCCCACGGCUAAAUGGUGGAGGGUCAUUGGAAACUGGGAGACUUGAGUGCAGAAGAGGAAAGUGGAAUUCCAUGUGUAGCGGUGAAAUGCGUAGAGAUAUGGAGGAACACCAGUGGCGAAGGCGACUUUCUGGUCUGUAACUGACACUGAGGCGCGAAAGCGUGGGGAGCAAACAGGAUUAGAUACCCUGGUAGUCAACGCCGGUAAACGAUGAGUGCUAAGUGUUAGAGGGUUUCCGCCCUUUAGUGCUGAAGUUAACGC
rnacentral:rRNA from 1 species